rnacentral:piRNA from 1 species
CCCCCAGUAGGUUGCCUCAAAAGCCCAGUU